AGAGCUUGCUCGGAUUUGACGUUUGACGCUUCGGAGUUGCGAACGGGUGAGUAACACGUGGGGAACCUCCCUCUCUGCGGGGGAUAACACAUAGAAAUGUGUGCUAAUACCGCAUAAUUGCUUUUGCCGCAUGACAAAAGUAUGAAAGGCGCAAUUGCGUCACUGAGAGAUGGCCCCGCGGUGCAUUAGCUAGUUGGUGAGGUAACGGCUCACCAAGGCAACGAUGCAUAGCCGACCUGAGAGGGUGAUCGGCCACAUUGGGACUGAGACACGGCCCAAACUCCUACGGGAGGCAGCAGUAGGGAAUCUUCGGCAAUGGACGCAAGUCUGACCGAGCAACGCCGCGUGAGUGAUGAAGGUUUUCGGAUCGUAAAACUCUGUUGAUAGAGAAGAACAAGAGGAAGAGUGGAAAGCUUCCUCCUUGACGGUAUCUAUCCAGAAAGCCACGGCUAACUACGUGCCAGCAGCCGCGGUAAUACGUAGGUGGCAAGCGUUGUCCGGAUUUAUUGGGCGUAAAGCGAGCGCAGGCGGUUGAUUAAGUCUGAUGUGAAAGCCCCCGGCUCAACCGGGGAGGGUCAUUGGAAACUGGUCAACUUGAGUGCAGGAGAGGAGAGUGGAAUUCCAUGUGUAGCGGUGAAAUGCGUAGAUAUAUGGAGGAACACCAGUGGCGAAGGCGGCUCUCUGGCCUGUAACUGACGCUGAGGCUCGAAAGCGUGGGGAGCGAACAGGAUUAGAUACCCUGGUAGUCCACGCCGUAAACGAUGAGUGCUAAGUGUUGGAGGGUUUCCACCCUUCAGUGCUGCUGCUAACGCAUUAAGCACUCCGCCUGGGGAGUACGACCGCAAGGUUGAAACUCAAAGGAAUUGACGGGGGCCCGCACAAGCGGUGGAGCAUGUGGUUUAAUUCGAAGCACGCGAGACCUUACCAGUCUUGACAUCCUUCUGACCGCUCUAGAGAUAGAGCUCUCUCGAGCAAAG
rnacentral:rRNA from 1 species